UGGGCGCUUGGGUAGCUCAGUUGGUAGAGUGCGUGCCCAUGUAUGGAGGCUUGUUCCUCGACGCAGAAGGUCUGGGUUUGAAUCCAACGUGUGACGGUUUUCCUGCAUGUCUUCCCCCCUAUCUCUCCCCUUUCAAAUCUCGAGCUUUCCUGUCCAAUAAAGGCAGAAAUGCCCCCCCCCC